CGAGCUUCCGUUGAAUGACGUGCUUGCACUGAUUUCAACAAUGAAGCGAGUGGCGAACUGGUGAGUAACACGUGGGGAAUCUGCCCAGAAGCAGGGGAUAACACUUGGAAACAGGUGCUAAUACCGUAUAACAACAAAAUCCGCAUGGAUUUUGUUUGAAAGGUGGCUUCGGCUAUCACUUCUGGAUGAUCCCGCGGCGUAUUAGUUAGUUGGUGAGGUAAAGGCCCACCAAGACGAUGAUACGUAGCCGACCUGAGAGGGUAAUCGGCCACAUUGGGACUGAGACACGGCCCAAACUCCUACGGGAGGCAGCAGUAGGGAAUCUUCCACAAUGGACGAAAGUCUGAUGGAGCAAUGCCGCGUGAGUGAAGAAGGGUUUCGGCUCGUAAAACUCUGUUGUUAAAGAAGAACACCUUUGAGAGUAACUGUUCAAGGGUUGACGGUAUUUAACCAGAAAGCCACGGCUAACUACGUGCCAGCAGCCGCGGUAAUACGUAGG
rnacentral:rRNA from 2 species